GCAAACUUGGUCAUUUAGAGGAAGUAAAAGUCGUAACAAGGUUUCCGUAGGUGAACCUGCGGAAGGAUCAUUACCAAUCUUUAGUGGGCCUUGGCUUGUCCAUGGUCUCACGAAACUUUUAUUUAAACCCACUCAUAUAUAAUAAGAUAACCCUGUAUAUUUUAUGAUAUAAAUAAAGAUCACUUUCAACAACGGAUCUCUUGGCUCUCAGAUGUGUAUAAGAGACAGGCAAACUUGGUCAUUUAGAGGAAGUAAAAGUCGUAACAAGGUUUCCGUAGGUGAACCUGCGGAAGGAUCAUUACCAAUCUUUAGUGGGCCUUGGCUUGUCCAUGGUCUCACGAAACUUUUAUUUAAACCCACUCAUAUAUAAUAAGAUAACCCUGUAUAUUUUAUGAUAUAAAUAAAGAUCACUUUCAACAACGGAUCUCUUGGCUCUCGCAUCGAUGAAGAACGCAGC
rnacentral:misc_RNA from 1 species